rnacentral:rRNA from 1 species
UACGAACCGUGCAAACGUUAUUCGGAAUCACUGGGCAUAAAGGGCGCGUAGGCGGCUUCAUAAGUCAGGGGUGAAAUCCGGCAGCUUAACUGUCGCAGUGCCUUUGAUACUGUGGAGCUCGAGGGAGGUAGGGGUCUGUGGAACUUCCGGUGGAGCGGUGAAAUGCGUUGAUAUCGGAAGGAACGCCGGUGGCGAAAGCGACGGACUGGAUCUCUUCUGACGCUGAGGCGCGAAAGCCAGGGGAGCAAACGGG